GACGAACGCUGGCGGCGUGCUUAACACAUGCAAGUCGAACGGAAAGGCCCUGCUUUUGUGGGGUGCUCGAGUGGCGAACGGGUGAGUAACACGUGAGUAACCUGCCCUUGACUUUGGGAUAACUUCAGGAAACUGGGGCUAAUACCGCAUAGGAGCUCCUGCUGCCUGGUGGGGGUUGGAAAGUUGCGGCGGUGGGGGAUGGUCUCGCCGCUUCUCAGCUUGUUGGUGGGGUAGUGUCUUACCACGGCUUGGACGGGUAGCAGGCCUGGGGGGGGGACCGGACACAGUGGAAUGGAGAUGCGGCACAGACUCCUAUGGGAGGCAGCAGUGGGGAAGAGUGCACAAUGGGCGGAAGCCUGAUGCAGCAACGCCGCGUGCGGGAGAACGGCAUUCGGUUUGUAAACCGCUUUCGCCUGGGACGAAGCGUUAGUGACGGUAAUGGGUAAAGAAGCACCGGCUAACUACGUG
rnacentral:rRNA from 1 species